GUAGGGCGGGACACGUGGUAUCCUGUCUGAAUAUGGGGGGACCAUCCUCCAAGGCUAAAUACUCCUGACUGACCGAUAGUGAACCAGUACCGUGAGGGAAAGGCGAAAAGAACCCCGGCGAGGGGAGUGAAAAAGAACCUGAAACCGUGUACGUACAAGCAGUGGGAGCACAGGUUUACCUGUGUGACUGCGUACCUUUUGUAUAAUGGGUCAGCGACUUAUAUUCUGUAGCAAGGUUAACCGUAUAGGGGAGCCGGAGGGAAACCGAGUCUUAAUUGGGCGUUAAGUUGCAGGGUAUAGACCCGAAACCCGGUGAUCUAGCCAUGGGCAGGUUGAAGGUUGGGUAACACUAACUGGAGGACCGAACCGACUAAUGUUGAAAAAUUAGCGGAUGACCUGUGGCUGGGGGUGAAAGGCCAAUCAAACCGGGAGAUAGCUGGUUCUCCCCGAAAGCUAUUUAGGUAGCGCCUCGUGAAUUCAUCUCCGGGGGUAGAGCACUGUUUCGGCUAGGGGGCCAUCCCGGCUUACCAACCCGAUGCAAACUGCGAAUACCGGAGAAUGUUAUCACGGGAGACACACGGCGGGUGCUAACGUCCGUCGUGAAGAGGGAAACAACCCAGACCGCCAGCUAAGGUCCCAAAGUCAUGGUUAAGUGGGAAACGAUGUGGGAAGGCCCAGACAGCCAGGAUGUUGGCUUAGAAGCAGCCAUCAUUUAAAGAAAGCGUAAUAGCUCACUGGUCGAGUCGGCCUGCGCGGAAGAUGUAACGGGGCUAAACCAUGCACCGAAGCUGCGGCAGCGACGCUUAUGCGUUGUUGGGUAGGGGAGCG
rnacentral:rRNA from 1 species